rnacentral:tRNA from 1 species
AUCUGGCUGGCUCAGUCGGGAGAGCAUGUGACUCUUGCUCUCAGGGUUGUGAGUUCAAGCCCCAUGUUAGGUA